rnacentral:tRNA from 1 species
ACUUAUAUAAUUUAAGCUUAAGAAUGCCGCGUUGAAGUUGCGGGGGCGGCAAAAUUGCCUGUAAGUA